rnacentral:rRNA from 1 species
AGCUCCAAUAGCGUAUAUUAAAGUUGUUGCAGUUAAAAAGCUCGUAGUUGGAUUUCUGGCUCUCUGCGCCUGGCCCGCCUCGAUUAGAGUGUGAGUGCCGGUGCGCGGUCGCCAUCCUUCUAGGAAACGUUUCUACCCUUCACUGGGCCGGACUCGCGACCUAGAUCUUUUACUUUGAAAAAAUUAGAGUGUUUAAAGCAGGCUAUUGUCUUUGAAUAGAUUAGCAUGGAAUAAUGACUUAGGACUUCGGUUCUAUUUUGUUGGUUUCUAGUACUGAAGUAAUGAUUGAUAGGGAUAGUUGGGGGUGCUCGUAUUCAGCGGCCAGAGGUGAAAUUCUUGGAUUCGCUGAAGACGAACUUAUGCGAAAGCAUUCACCAAGGAUGUCUUCU